UUUUCGCAGCAAAAGCUUGGGAAGUUCUAUCUUUUUUCGCUCUUUCGCAAGUGAUCCCGCGCUUCGUUCUGAUUGGUUGGCGAAAAAAGUUCGCAAACAUUCGCAUGGAUUUGUCUUUAUUAUGAAGGAUUGAAAAACAAGCUUAAGCUAUGAAACCACUAUUGGCGAUCUAACGUACAAAUCUACACCUAGGCGGCGCUGCGGUGAAAGUGAUGAUGGUUUUAAAUUUUGCCAUGUGAGCUUAUGGAAGUAGUGAAAACUAUAAAAAUGUUGACAAUGGUUGAAUUAAAGAACGAAAUUCGAGAGCACAAUCAAACACAAGUAGAAAAAUGCACGAUUCCUGCAUGUUACAUUAGCAUCAUUUUCUUAGUUCAAAAACAAAAUCCAGAUGUCUCACCGAUCGUUUACGUUUUGCGUUAGAUCGCCAAUUGGCGAUCUAACGUGUAAAUCUACACCUAGGCGGCGCAGCGGUGAAUGUGAUGAUG